CAUGGAUCACUGAGCUGUUGCCAAAUACUUUCUUGGCCGCUAAUAGCACUUUUUAGCCUUCUUUGUGGGGCGCGUAGCAGGUAUUUAAAAACAGCACUGGGCGAAGCACACGCGUCUUCCUCUCGCUCGCAGACGCAUUUCUCUCCUGAAAUGUCACUUUCGAAAAUCCGUUGUCACACGUUUUCUUCACAGAAUGGACUUUUUAAGACGAGAAGUGGGCAUCCUCAGUAUUGAAAUGGAUAACACUUAUGAUGUGAUGUCUUGAAUUCAGGUCAGUGCGUCUGUCAUACUGUUCACAUUCAUGCAUUAUUCACAUUCAUCCACCUACGCCAAACCAAAGACAAAAAUCUGUCUAGUCAGACGUUCACCCAGUAACUUUUGCAUAAAUGACAAGCUCAUCAAAGACAUUAAGAGAAACUAUACACGAGAAGGACCAUAUGCACAGAAACGCUGACACACAUUCAAAAGCACUGCAUGCUUGCAUGAUACACAUAGAAAGAUGUGUCCAUGUUAAUAUCAUUCUGUCAGCUAAGUGAACCUCUCAGUCACCUCUCAUUUCCUUCUCCUCAUCAUCCUUCUCGCUCUCUUUUUUUACUCUUUCACACACAAGUAGACACAUCAUCAUCAUCUUCAUCAUCUCACACAUAUCACCAUCACUGGACAUGCACACUCGUGCAUAUCCAGGAAUGGAGAGAUGCUCUUUCUGAGUGAAAGAUGGAAAGAUGACAAGUAAGAGGGGAGAACACAAGAAGCACAUUAGAUAUCGGUCUCUCCCUUUCACAUCCCAUUAGAGUUACACUCUUCCAUCUGCUCCCUCACUCUUCUUCACCUCUAACAGUCUGUCCUGCUGCACUUUACAACAGUGGCCUACCUGACUAAAUGCCAUUUCACACCACACACACACACACACACAGAGAGAGAGAUUACCUUCUGAAAUAUUUACAAAGCUGAAGGAUGGGGAAAAAAGCAGAUUGAUUGAAUAAAAGUGAUAUAUAUAUAUAUAUAUAUAUAUAUAUAUAAUACAGUGUCUGAAUUUUCAGCAGCCAUUAGUCUUCUGUGUAACAAACAUGAUCUUUCAGAAAUCAUUCUAAUAAAACUUUGUAGAAACCAUUAUACCCAUUAUAAUUUAAUUAACCCUUGCUGUAAGUUGUUGACUUUGGUAAAGCAUAAAAAUACUAUGAUAUGUUUGCAGACAUUUAAGAAAUGUGCUAAGGUAACAUAUUUGUUUAUCUGAAAAACAAUGCUGCAGUCAGUUAAUAUCUUUUGAAAAUGUGCAAUCCAUGCCAGAACGUCGGUCUCUGUUUUGGUUUGUGAAACCCGCCCAAUGCCAGAUAAGUUUACCCAGUUGUAUUUCGGCACUCGGUUGCCAGUUGGUGGAAAACACAGCGUAUUUAAUUUCAUUCAUCGUCAAGUGUGCUCGUUCAUGUUGUUGUCUUAAAUCUGGCAACCUGUCUGUGCAUCAAGUCUGAGGAAGGGGAGCCAGGUGAAAAAAACCCUCUCCAAUAUUUAGAAUUUGGACUCGUUCACCCACUUGGUGUCAGUCCUACAUACAGCACCCUUUAAUAGACAUUACUAUAUUUCUCUCUCCUUUAAGCAAAUGCAAAGCUAUUAAACACAAUUAUCAUGAGGUCAUCACAUAUUUACCUCUUUUUCUAAACAAUUUAUUUUAUUAUCGCUAAAAGUAAACGUUGCAGCAGAGGGAGAAAGUGCAUUGUUGAAAAGCCAGAGUUUUGUUUGUCCCUCUAGACUCUCCAUACACACAGAGCUUGAGGGGGACUCGCACAGAAGCUCUUCAGGGGGUUGUUAGCUGUGAGCUUAGCUACCACAAGGGCUCCAGCUCACGCAAUAAUUAUUUUCAUAGUCAGCCGGGUGAGCCGAGCUGGCCUGCGAGUUGUGCAAAUGCUUAUUUAAGCUGUGUAACUGACAUCCAUGUGGUUUUUAUCACCAUGAAGAAACGUUUGAACUGGUUAUGUUUGCAUGCGGCCCAGGCUCUGGCCUGUCUGUCAGAAACACUCAUAUGUGUUGCGUCUGUGGGAAAUUAUAUUCCAUAAUGUUCUGGAUCAGCAUGUUUUCCUUCACUGAGUCACUGUUGUACUUUAAAAGUGUUAAUAAAAGCUAAAACACAUUUGG